CACUGGUUUUGUACAAGCUUCAGGUGAACCGAAGUUAAAACGGUAAAAACCCAUUGCCCAAAACUCCAAAUCCGGAGCAGAGAAAAAGCUAAAACACUGGUUGAAGAAAUAUAGGUGAUCUAAACAUACGAAUAGCCAUGUUUAUCAAUAAAUUUCUGACCAUGUUUCGAGACCCAAAACAGGGAAAAAAGUGAAACAAUUGUGGGGAUGAGAGACCCUCCGUACUAUAAAAUAUCAGACUCAUCUCAUCGAGAUGACACAGGAAAGUUUCCUAGUCUUUAACCCAAAACAAGCACGAAAGAUACAGCUAAUUAACAAUAAGAAGCAGCAAAAUCACCUAGCAGCUUUUAUGCUACCUUCCUAUAGACUGAUAGUGAUGCACGCCCUUCAAUACUAGGUAGCUAGAAUCUAAGCAAAACCAAGCUUUGAAUAAGAACAACUCCUUACAUUACCAUUUAAAUCACUAUUAUAGCUGGAGGAAAGGGGUUCAUUUACUGGUAUGACCAUAGGCCUUCUGCAUCCGAAUCCCCUGGCGAAUCAUCCGAC
rnacentral:misc_RNA from 1 species